GUGAGGAAUAUUGGUCAAUGGGCGCAAGCCUGAACCAGCCAUGCCGCGUGCAGGAUGACUGCCCUAUGGGUUGUAAACUGCUUUUAUACGGGAAGAAACCCCUCCACGUGUGGAGGAUUGACGGUACCGUAAGAAUAAGGAUCGGCUAACUCCGUGCCAGCAGCCGCGGUAAUACGGAGGAUCCAAGCGUUAUCCGGAAUCAUUGGGUUUAAAGGGUCCGUAGGCGGGUCUGUAAGUCAGUGGUGAAAUCUCCCGGCUCAACCGGGAAACUGCCAUUGAUACUGCAGUGCUUGAAUGUUUGUGAAGUAACUAGAAUAUGUAGUGUAGCGGUGAAAUGCUUAGAUAUUACAUGGAAUACCGAUUGCGAAGGCAGGUUACUAACAAAUGAUUGACGCUGAUGGACGAAAGCGUGGGGAGCGAACAGGAUUAGAAACCCUGGUAGUCC
rnacentral:rRNA from 1 species